rnacentral:lncRNA from 11 species
CUUGUUUAUUUUUUUCUUACAACAGUAUUUGGUUGUUCCUAUUCAUUUUUGACAGUCUGGUCCACAUGGGAAUCACAUUGAGGCCAGGAACCUGAUCCAAGGAAGGAGACCGAAGGUAAAGAGUGCAAGAUGAGUGAAAGGAAGAGCCCAAGGAUUGGAAAUACAGGGCCAUCUUGGAGGAUGCUUUCUGUUGACAGUCUUCCCAAUGAUCCAGCAGUUCUUACUGGGAAUCCCACUGGAAGACUAUGGAUCCAACUGCAUCUAUUUAUGUCCUCAAGUGCUCUGAACCAGGAAGAAGCUGGACUUUUGGUAAGACAACACUCCUUUGGUUGUGAAUGUAAUGCAGUUGUGUGAGUUAUAAAAGACUGGAAUGCAUUCUUGAGGACAGAAUGGGAAAAAUGCCAAUACAAGUGUCAAACACUCCCUUUGAUUGGAACUAAGAAAAGAGAUUUAAAGAUAGCAGAACACCUGCAUCAUCCCUUCCGUUAAUGAGGGGACUUUUGGUAAUGGAAGUCAGAAAUAUAUAUUGCACAGUCAUAAAGAAACGGUCCAAGAAUAUACUGACAUUUUGGUCCAAAAUUAAUAAAUUCAGAAAAAAAAAUCAUGCCCUCCAACAUUUCACGUCUGAAAACUGAGACACACAUGGCUCAGCAACUUCACAGUGUGAUUGAGGUGAGAAAGAACACUCCAGGAGAGGCUGCAGCAGUUUGUCUUUGCUUAAGCCUCCAGGGAAGGGCAA